rnacentral:rRNA from 1 species
UAGGGAAUAUUGGUCAAUGGGCGCAAGCCUGAACCAGCCACGCCGCGUGCGGGAAGAAGGCCCUUCGGGUCGUAAACCGCUUUUGCCGGGGGAUAACGGAGGGCUACACGCCCUCGUGCAGGUACCCGGCGAAUAAGCCACGGCUAACUACGUGCCAGCAGCCGCGGUAAUACGUAGGUGGCAAGCGUUGUCCGGAUUUACUGGGUUUAAAGGGUGCGUAGGCGGUCUUUUAAGUCAGGCGUCAAAGACA